GCUAGCCGGAUCAGCUGACUGAUGGUGGGGCGCAAGCAGGGUUGGAGCUGCCUGGUUACGGGAAUAAAACUGGGAAAGCCGGCCUGGGCCGAGGCCACUGGUGCAUACGUUCCCGGGAGGGAUAAGCCAGACCUGCCAACCUGGAAGAGGAAUUUCCGUUCUGCCCUCAACCGCAAAGAAGGCUUGCGUUUAGCAGAGGACCGGAGCAAGGACCCUCAUGACCCACACAAAAUCUACGAGUUUGUGAACUCAGGAGUUGGGGACUUUUCCCAGCCAGACACCUCUCCAGACACCAAUGGCGGAGGCAGUACUUCUGAUACCCAGGAAGACAUUCUGGAUGAGUUACUGGGUAACAUGGUGUUGGCCCCACUCCCAGAUCCGGGACCCCCAAGCCUGGCUGUAGCCCCUGAGCCCUGCCCUCAGCCCCAGCAGAGCCCCAGCUUGGACAAUCCCACUCCCUUCCCAAACUUGGGGCCCUCUGAGAACCCACUGAAGCGGCUGUUGGUGCCGGGGGAAGGUGAGUGUCAGCUGUAGACUGGGAGGGCUGAGGUCUGGGUGGCAGCCCCU
rnacentral:sRNA from 1 species